ensembl:snoRNA U3 Small nucleolar RNA U3
AAGACUAUACUUUCAGGGGUCAUUUCUGUAGUUCAUAUCUCAGGAAUGACUCUUUAGAAAUGCCACUAGACUAGCCUACCCAUAGAAGAAGUGGC